GACGAACGCUGGCGGCGUGCUUAACACAUGCAAGUCGAACGAUGAAGCCCAGCUUGCUGGGUGGAUUAGUGGCGAACGGGUGAGUAACACGUGAGUAACCUGCCCUGGACUCUGGGAUAACCCCGAGAAAUCGGAGCUAAUACCGGAUAGGACCUUUCCCCGCAUGGGGUUUGGUGGAAAGUUUUUCGGUUUGGGAUGGACUCGCGGCCUAUCAGCUGGUUGGUGAGGUAAUGGCUCACCAAGGCGUCGACGGGGAGCCGGCCUGAGAGGGUGACCGGCCACACUGGGACUGAGACACGGCCCAGACUCCUACGGGAGGCAGCAGUGGGGAAUAUUGCACAAUGGGCGCAAGCCUGAUGCAGCAACGCCGCGUGCGGGAUGACGGCCUUCGGGUUGUAAACCGCUUUUAGUAAGGAAGAAGGGGCUUCGGCCUUGACGGUACUUGCAGAAAAAGGACCGGCUAACUACGUGCCAGCCGCCGCCGUAACAC
rnacentral:rRNA from 1 species